GGUUCGAUCCUGGCUCAGAUUGAACGCUGGCGGGAUGCUUUACACAUGCAAGUCGAACGGCAGCACGGACUUCGGUCUGGUGGCGAGUGGCGAACGGGUGAGUAAUGUAUCGGAACGUGCCUAGUAGCGUGGGGAUAACUACGCGAAAGCGUAGCUAAUACCGCAUACGCCCUUCGGGGGAAAGCGGGGACCUUCGGGCCUCGCACUAUUAGAGCGGCCGAUAUCGGAUUAGCUAGUUGGUGGGGUAACGGCUCACCAAGGCGACGAUCCGUAGCUGGUUUGAGAGGACGACCAGCCAAGGUCAGACUGAGACACGGCCCAGACUCCUACGGGAGGCAGCAGUGGGGAAUUUUGGACAAUGGGGAAACCCUGAUCCGCUAUCCCGUGUGCGAUGAAGGCCUUCGCUGUAAAGCACUUUUGGCAGGGGAAAGAAAACGGCACGGGAUAAUACCCCGUGCAACUGACGGUACUCCGCACCAGCAGCCGUAAUACGUAGGGUGCAAGCGUUAAUCGGAAUUACUGGGCGUAAAGCGUGCGCAGGCGGUUCGGAAAGAAAGAUGUGAAAUCCCAGAGCUUAACUUUGGAACUGCAUUUUUAACUACCGAGCUAGAGUGUGUCAGAGGGAGGUGGAAUUCCGCGUGUAGCAGUGAAAUGCGUAGAUAUGCGGAGGAACACCGAUGGCGAAGGCAGCCUCCUGGGAUAACACUGACGCUCAUGCACGAAAGCGUGGGGAGCAAACAGGAUUAGAUACCCCUGGUAGUCCACGCCCUAAACGAUGUCAACUAGCUGUUGGGGCCGCCGGGCCCCUGGUAGCGCAGCUAACGCGCGUGAAGUUGACCGCCUGGGGAGUACGGUCGCAAGAUUAAAAACCCAAAGGAAUUGACGGGGACCCGCACAAGCGGUGGAUGAUGGGAUUAAUUCCGAUGCAACGCGAAAAAACCUUACCUACCCUGGACAUGUCUGGAAUCCCGGAAGAGAUUUGGGAGUGCUCGCAAGAGAACCGAACAGGUGCUGCAUGGCUGUCGUCAGCUCGUGUCGUGAGAUGUUGGGUUAAGUCCUGCAACGAGCGCAACCUUUGUCAUUAGUUGCUACGAAAGGGCACUCUAAUGAGACUGCCGGUGACAAACCGAGGAAGGUGGGGAUGACGUCCUCAUGGCCCCUGGCGGUAGGGCUUCACACGUCAUGCAGAAUGGUCGGGACAGAGGGUCGCCAACCCGCGAGGGGGAGCCAAUCCCAGAAACCCGAUCGUAGUCCGGAUCGCAGUCUGCAACUCGACUGCGUGAAGUCGGAAUCAAGGUAAUCGCGGAUCAGCAUGUCGCGGUGAAUACGUUCCUGGGUCUUGUACACACCGCCCGUCACACCAUGUGGGAGUGGGUUUUACCAGAAGUAGUUAGCCUAACCGUAAGGAGGGCGAUUACCACGGUAGGAUUCAUGACUGGGGUGAAGUCGUAACAAGGUAGCCCCAGCACAAUCUGAUGC
rnacentral:rRNA from 1 species